AUGCAAGUCGAACGAUGAAGCCAGCUUGCUGGUGGAUUAGUGGCGAACGGGUGAGUAACACGUGAGUAACCUGCCCUUGACUCUGGGAUAAGCCUGGGAAACUGGGUCUAAUACCGGAUACGACUCCUCAUCGCAUGGUGGGGGGUGGAAAGCCUUGUGCGGUUUUGGAUGGACUCGCGGCCUAUCAGCUUGUUGGUGGGGUAAUGGCCUACCAAGGCGACGACGGGUAGCCGGCCUGAGAGGGUGACCGGCCACACUGGGACUGAGACACGGCCCAGACUCCUACGGGAGGCAGCAGUGGGGAAUAUUGCACAAUGGGCGAAAGCCUGAUGCAGCGACGCCGCGUGAGGGAUGACGGCCUUCGGGUUGUAAACCUCUUUCAGUAGGGAAGAAGCCUUCGGGUGACGGUACCUGCAGAAGAAGCGCCGGCUAACUACGUGCCAGCAGCCGCGGUAAUACGUAGGGCGCAAGCGUUAUCCGGAAUUAUUGGGCGUAAAGAGCUCGUAGGCGGUUUGUCGCGUCUGCUGUGAAAGACCGGGGCUCAACCCCGGUUCUGCAGUGGGUACGGGCAGACUAGAGUGAUGUAGGGGAGACUGGAAUUCCUGGUGUAGCGGUGAAAUGCGCAGAUAUCAGGAGGAACACCGAUGGCGAAGGCAGGUCUCUGGGCAUUAACUGACGCUGAGGAGCGAAAGCAUGGGGAGCGAACAGGAUUAGAUACCCUGGUAGUCCAUGCCGUAAACGUUGGGCACUAGGUGUGGGGGACAUUCCACGUUUUCCGCGCCGUAGCUAACGCAUUAAGUGCCCCGCCUGGGGAGUACGGCCGCAAGGCUAAAACUCACAGGAAUUGACGGGGGCCCGCACAAGCGGCGGAGCAUGCGGAUUAAUUCGAUGCAACGCGAAGAACCUUACCAAGGCUUGACAUGGACCGGAAAGGCGCAGAGAUGCGUCCCCCGCUU
rnacentral:rRNA from 1 species